rnacentral:lncRNA from 1 species
AUAUCAAUUGGCCAUUUUUGCUUCUUAUAAAGAUCUUUAGACAUGAGAUUUAUUUCAGAACCAUGGUCCACCAAAGCAACUAUUGGUUCAUCUAUAUCUCCUACCUUCACCAAUACCUGAGUAGUUGCCCUUGCCCAAUGCUUUCGAGUAUAAUGGCUCAAGUUUCCAUUUCCUUGUCACUAGAAUCUUCGAAACGUACUCGCUGAUUAUACCCAUUCUUUUCAUUUGUUGGUUGAUUGUAACCAAUAUCAACCUCUUCUUCGUCUCUACAUAUUCUUGCAUCAAUAGCAUGACUCAUUCCAGUUUCGCCCAUUAAUUGCCUCUUUCGCUUAAUGCUGUCAAUGAUAACAUCAUGAAACUCCUUCUUUGCAAUUUUCAAAACUUCUUUCAAUGUGAAUUCCACCUUAGCGUUUAAUAUACGUUCUUCCAACACCCCUUUCAAAUUUGUUGCCGCUUCAAUGUCAGAAAGUAGCUUAUAAGUAAUUGAUUUGCCCUUAUCUUUUGUCUCC